rnacentral:misc_RNA from 1 species
GCGCUUGAUAAGCGUGAGGUCGGAGGUUCAAGUCCUCCCAGGCCCACCAGUUACACGAUGCUAAAAGUUGCUAUAUUGGGAGAGUUGAUAAUCCCUUACAGGAAAUUAUUGCCCUUAAUAAAACUUUAUUUUCUAAAAGCAUUCAGAGCUGACAUAGAAUAGAGCUGACAUAGAAUUGAGAAUCUGACAUAGGAAUUAUUGAAAUUGUUUUGGAAUUAUUGAAAAUUGUUUUCUAUCAUUUUAAAAGGCUAAAAUAUUCUGUCUCUAUUUUUAAAAUAGCAUCAGGUGUUUU